UUUUUUUUGUUUUUUUGUUUUUUUUUUUUGAGACGGAGUCUCGCUGUGUCACCCAGGCUGGAGUGCAGUGGCGUGAUCUUGGCUUACUGCAACCUCCGCCUCCUGAGUUCAAGCAAUUCUCGUACCUCAGCCUUCUGAGUAGCUGGAAUUACAGACGUGCACCACCACAUCUGGCUAAUUUUUGUAUAUUUAGUAGAGACGAGGUUUCACCAUGUCGCCCAGGCCAGUCCUGAACUCCUGACCUCAGGUGAUCCGCCCGCCUCAACCUCCCAAAGUACUGGGGUUACAGGCGUGAGCCACCACACCUGACCCAUGCCAGUCACUCUUAUUGAGCACCAGGAACUGCCAGCCAGAGAGAGCUCCCUGCUGCCCAGGGUCACACACAGCAGGCCUUCCUGGUGGCAGGCAGGCCUCACAUCCCAGCACAGCUGCCAGAAAGAAAGGAGGUGAGUCACAGGGCCAGGCCAGGAGCUGGGUGAGGCUGGGGCCAGGGUCCAGGCAGGCGCCACUUUCCAGGAAAGGGAAGGGAAGGGAAGAGGAAACCAGAAGGCCAGGAGGAGCACAGGGAAGGGCGAGGGUGCCCUUAUCUCCCUGGACCCGCCCUGGCUGGUGCUGCUUCCUGCUGCAACUCUUGCAAAACCUCCUUCCCAACACUGUCCUCAAGCAGGGUGCCCCAGGCCAGUACCAGGUUGCAUCAAGGCCUUGUGCAAGGGGAGUUAAGAGGGGGACAGUGGCUGGGAGCAAGGCAGGGCGAGAGGUAAGGCAAAUGUGGGUUCUAGGCCCAGUGCCACUUCUGGUUGGGCAGCUGCUUCACCUCCUGGGCUCUCAGGAUCCCCAGCAUUUUGAGAUGGAGUCUCACUCUGUUGCCAACCUCCGCCUCCUGGGUUCAAGCAAUUUUGGGGGGGCAUAUUUUUUAGUAGAGAGACGGGGUUUCUACAUGUUGGCCAGGUUGGUCUCGAACUACUGACUUCAGGUGAUCCACGUGCCUCGGCCUCCCAAAUUGUUGGGAUUACAGGCAUGAGCCACUGUACCCUGCCAUCCCCAGCUUUGUUUUGUUUUGUUUUGUUUUGUUUUUGAGAUGGAGUCUCCCUCUGUUGCUAGGCUGGAGUGCAGUGGCAUGAUCUCGGCUCACUAUAACCUCUGCCUCCCAGGUUCAAGUAAUUCUCCUGCCUCAGCCUCCCAACUAGCUGGGAUUACAGGUGUGCGCCACCACACCCAGCUAAUUUUUGUGUUUUUAGUAGAGACGGGGUUUCACCAUGUUGCCCAGGAUGGUCUCAACCUCCUGACCUCGUGAUCCGCCCGCCUCGGCCUCCUGAAGUGCUGGGAUUACAGGCGUCAGCCACCACGCCUGGCCUCAUUCCCAGCUUUUAAAUGGGUGUUAUACUCACUGUUUUGAGGUUUCAGUGAUAGCAUCCCAAACCUUUGCACUCCUCAAGCCUCAGGCUAGGCCAUUGUACU
rnacentral:lncRNA from 1 species